CCUCAUAGGACGUUUGGGCUUCAACUUUGACUUCAGACUCAUACUUCCCUAAAUAGCUUCUAAAUGGAUUUUAAAAUGCUUCAUCUAAAUUACUUAAAGGCUUACCUCAGCCACCCCAUCAAUUUCUGGAGAAUGAGCUGUUGCAGACAGUCAAGAUUUUGUAGAACUUCGCAAGCCAAGUAAAAGCUACAGCCAUUGCCCUAAGGCGUUUACCUCCAAGAAAGUAGGUGUAACUGGGUACUUAAAAAUACAUAAAAUGCUGUGACUUGGAAUCAGAUUCAGAAAUGCUGACUCUCUCCUUGCCUUAGAGCUGUUAACCACUUUACUGAGCAUUUCAUAUCAUUUCAGCCUGACAAUAGAGUGGCUAUAACAUUUUUGCACUGCUCCUGCUAAGAGAAUCUGGACGGUACUUUUAAAAUCAUCUGAGCGGGUCUUUAGAUGUUUUGAUUGUUGUCUUCGUUGAAUAAAAAUGACAAUAGCUAAUGAUUCUAAUAGAUGACACCUUAGAGCAUUUACUUUGCACUAGUGAAUGGUCUUAGUAUUUUUCAUGUAUUAAUUUAUCAAGUGUUCUCAACACGCCUGCAAGAGUAGCAAUUUAUACUUUUUAAUUUAUAGAUGAAAAACUCAUAUAACAGGGAAGUUAUGUCAUUUGUCCAAGGGCUCUAGGCUUCUAAGGGGGCAGCUCUGGGAUACAAAUCCAAGCAACAGGGUCCAGAGCCUGUGUGAUUAAUGUAAAACAGACAUGAUUUGUGUUUCGAGGCUCACAUACUUAGCAUUUUGAUAUUAUCAAUAGAUAAGACUGUUUCACAGAGCAUUUACCAGAGUUCCUGAUACAUGAUAGUCAAUACUUAUUGGCCAUUAUGCUAAUUGUAAUAAUAUUAUCUAAACAUUUCUAAAAGGGAGAUGAAAUUAAUAUUUGAGUAACUUACCAGUGUUUUUGAGUUUUACAGCCAUUAUCUCAUUAAUGCUCACAAAAGACUCCAAAUUACAUCUAUAACCAGACUCAUUUUGUAGAUACAUCGUUGGGAACUAGGAGCUGUUAAGUGACUACUCUCAAAUCCCGCAACCAAUGCAGUAGAAGCAGAAUUAGUACCAAGGUUAACUUGGGGGUUUUUCCUAACAAAUAGUCCUCCUUUUGACAGCUGAGUGAUAAGUCCUCUCCUAUAGACUGGCAUAGUAAAAAGGACAUUCAAAUAUCUCAUUAUGUCUACAACACACAGCAUAAGCUCUAAUUCAUGUGCAGUAGGGGGUGAACUGAACAUCAAAAUUAACUAGUUAAAUUUCUAAAUAUUUACCCAUGGUAACAAAAAUAGCUGCCUGUGAGUGUUGUUUUGAACCAUUGUAUUUAAAACUAAAAUGUUACAAAGAAAAUGAAGAUGUUGCUGACUUUCCACACAGUAGCUCAGUUACAUAGACUACAAAGAGCUAGUAAAGAUACAUGGCUCACUGGGGUAGGGGUAGGGGGGCUAUAUGUGAAUGCGGGCGCUUUGCUAGACACAGGAGCUGCCAUUGUCUCACUAGGCAUCAGUUUCCUGGCUGGCACUGGACUUGGUGAUGCUUCCUGACAGGUAAAUUUGUGAGUUUGAAUACGUACAAAUUCAACGACAGAUGCCUAAAGAGUUUAAUGAAUAAGUGAUUCUUUUUAUGCAUCUGAUAUGAAAACAACUAUGUAAAUAGCACCAAGUAAUAGCCCUCUUUUUUUAAAUAUUUAACAAUCAGACACUGUUCUAGAUGCUGUAUUAUAUGACCUCUUUUAAUUCCUACAGCAGUUCUAUUUUGUUUUACAUUUUGCAACUAAAGAAGCUAACACUCUAACAGGUAAUUAACUUUUUGAGCCCACACAGCUAAUGUUGGAUAUGAGAUCUCAUGCCAUGCUUCUGUAGUUUUGCAUAGCCUCCAAAGAAAUAAGAGAUUGCAGCAUUUUCUCCUAUAUUUUCCAAAUGCAGGCCCCACCACACCCAAGGCAAUUUGCAGUAUAUGUGCACCUAUCAUACCUGCUGAUGUGACUUCAACCCUGUCUUGUCUGAUAGGAUUUCUCCAAUAGCAAUAAAUGAAAGUGACAUUAUGAAGAUAAUCCUAAAUAUCUUUGGAUUUAUUUGCUUGUUUAUUUACUUACAAGCACUGGAACUUAGGAAAACACAUCCUGCAGUUGGCCUCAGAAUUGUGCUCCUCCACUGUGUCAUGUUACUCUGAAAACCAAACCUGGUUUGUUAUUAGACUUGGCAAUUUGUUGUUAUUCUUGGCUUUGAUUUGUAUUAGGGUGGUUGCUUAGCUGAUUUUUCUUUGGUUUAUUGUUUGUGUGGACUGGAUACUUUUCUUUUGAUAUGUAUUCCCCAUCCUAUUCUCAGGAGAUUCUGAUAAGUGAAUAAGGCCCAGUCCUUAAAAUUUGUGUUUAUAAAAAUGUCCUUUGGUUGUUCUAUCCAUAGCUAUGUUUGGAAACCAACUCCAGGCACAGGCUGACAUUCUAUACUACAAAAUGCCACAAAUGACUCCUCCCAAACAUACCUUAUUCACAUAACACCAUCUUCUUCCAUUGUACAGCAAGCAGUAAAAACAAGGGUUUUCCAGUGCUCAGAAACUUCAUCUCAUACUUGCUCCUAUAAAAGAUGAAAGCAGUUAAACAAAAAUGGCUCGAUCAUUUUUAAAGUGUCAAGUCUUUGCUCUCUUAGGAUCCUUUACCACAGAAGAACAUUCAUAUUUCUUCUAGUUCCCCUAAUAACAAUACUAAAAAUAAAAUAAAAUAAAAUGAAUAAGACUCCUUGUGUCUUUAGUCCAUUGCCAACUUUAAUUUAUAACAGUCAAUAUUAAUUCAAGCCUAAUGUCCCUAGGAAAGAUAACAGAUCCCAGACUUUUUUUUUUUUUUUUUUUCUACAUUUGAUUUUCUCCUGUUCCAUCAAGGUUGGCUAAAUCUAUUUAGUCUAGAUAUCAGCCUCAGGCAUCUCUGAAUGUGUUAGUUUAAUACUUUGUCAUCUCUUCAUAGAGGAUAGAUAGUUUUAUAUUAAGAAACCACAAUAAAGUGUUUCCUGACAAGGAAAAGAUUGAUUCUAAGAAUCUCCAUCAAACACACAGAAUUGAUUUUUCUCAUUUUUGUACUGAAAUCACAAAAUGCUUGGUGAAAACAUCUAACUGCAAGAUCUCCUCUUUAGCAAUGCUUGUGUGAAAGGAAUACUUACAGUAUUUCCCUUAACUUGUGAGAUAGAAAAGGUUACACAAAUCAGGGUAUUGUCAUGAAUUCCGCAUAGAAGGAAAAGGAACAUAGCAUCAGAACUAAACCUGAGAAAUCACUAGAGCUAAUAACAUUGAGCCAUCUCAUCUCAGUGAAGCACUUGCACUCCCCAAGCCCCAAUUUCCACCUUCUUAAAAUGGACUUGCUAAUAUGUUCUAGGUUAUUGAGGAAGUUUCCUGAAGUAAAGAAUAUUGUCAAAUAUAGUUUCAAAUAUUUAAAUAUAAAGACUCUCGGAGUUCCCAUCAUGGCACAGCAGAAACGAAUCUGACUAGUAUCCAUGAUGAUUCGGGUUCAAUCCCUGUCCUCUAUUUAUGUGGGUUUGCUGAUGGGUGGGGUUGGCCCCCUGUCCUACUGGCUGUGAGGCACAGCUGUGACUGUUGUAAGCUCACUGGUGUGUGGGGCUGACCUCCUGGAGCAGGAGUCACUUUUCAUUCUCAUAAGUGCUGGCUAAGGGUGCCCAUCAGGUGGGGUGGGGCCAGGACUGCAGGCAGGUUGUGUCUUCAGGGGAAUGCUGGGGCAGGGUUUAUGGUGUUAGCUAGGUUAUGAAGAAUGACAGAAAUGGUGCUUGCCAGCACUGAGACACUUGGGUGGAAGAGUGGAAAAAAAAAAAAAAAAUGGCACCACACACAGCACUUCAGUCCCUGGAAAAAUUUACACCAGAUCCAAAUUUAGUCAAUAAAUAUCCUUCUUAUAUGACCUGGGUGCUUUCCAAGCUGCUACCUCUAUGCUGUGUCCUAGAGUGAGUUUGUGUAUGAGCCUCUCACGGGCGGAGUCUCAAUUUCACAUAGCCCUUUUGUAAAUGAUCUCAGUGAAGGCAGAAAAUCUAAUUUGCUCACUACUGUUGCCUUUCAUCCUGUGACAGUGCCUGAACAGAGAAGGUAAUAAGUAUUCGUCAAAUGAUUAAAAUACUCUGAUUGCAAAGAGGGAGUAGAAAUUUGAGUGGAUUGGGGUGAGAAUAUAGGUGGAAAG
rnacentral:lncRNA from 1 species